rnacentral:lncRNA from 1 species
CGGCGUUUAAAUCUCUAUCAUUGAAAUUUUUGUGUAACCCUAAUGACAUUGUAUAAAACAUCAUCAAGUACACGGCAGUUGCGUUAAGCGUGAGACAACUCUCCCUCCAAGUCACAAUAUGUAGAAAGUAAACCAUUUCAGGCCACAGUACGGUCAUCAACACGAAGCCCUGGCCCACACCAAACAACAAGAUAUCAAAGGCUUCAAAAAUAUAGCGUAAAACCGUUCACACAUUCAUACAAUUUUAUAUUCUUGACAUAAUAUACUCAUUUAUUAACGAAUAUGUCCAAUAUAAAAUGUUUAUCCAUAACUUAAAUCGUCCGCGUAACUACGAG